rnacentral:rRNA from 1 species
UACGGGGGGAGCAAGCGUUGUUCGGAUUUACUGGGCGUAAAGGGCGCGUAGGCGGCUUAACAAGUCACUUGUGAAAUCUCCGGGCUUAACUCGGAACGGCCAAGUGAAACUGUCAAGCUAGAGUGCAGAAGGGGCAAUCGGAAUUCUUGGUGUAGCGGUGAAAUGCGUAGAUAUCAAGAGGAACACCUGAGGUGAAGACGGGUUGCUGGGCCGACACUGACGCUGAGGCGCGAAAGCUAGGGGAGCGAACGGG